UAUUUUCAUAAUAAAUUUGUCUUGAGUUGAAAAUGUUAUUGUUUUUUCCUACAAAUUUAGUCAAACUUAAAGCAGUUUGACUUUAAACAAAGUCAAGACGUCUUAUAACUUGAAACGGAUGUAGUACUUGCUUGUGGAAGAAGCACUUCAUGCCGUUAGUAAAAAAGUUGAGGACAAAAUAAAACAAAUUUACAAUGAUGGCAUAGUUGCAAAGUCAGCAUCCCAGUUAUCUCAGAACUUGGCACAUAUGUCUCUGGUCUGAAGAAAAAGGAGAGCCAGAAAAAAAAGAGAGCCGGAAACGUGUAACAUAACGGAAAACAAAUUGGAUUGAUAAACUGCAAAAACACAAAAAAAAAAAAUAGAAAGGUAAAUAUAUUUGUACCCUACUAUGUAACAAGUUAAAAUGGGACUAUAAAUUGAGCCCCUUCUCAAAUCUAUUAUGCAGCAUGAAGAAAAGGCAAAGGAGAAAAACUUGCAAACUGAUGUGGAAGAACAUCAAGAAUAUGAAGCAAUUAGCAGCUAUGCUCAACUUCUACUAGGUUCUAUUGAUGUUGAAGAUGUCAUCUUAUCUUAAAAGUUCAUUCGAAGAGGUCAACAGAACUUAGAAGGCAUCAUGCUGAUUUUGGAAGCAAAUGAUGAUCUACUUUUGGACCGUGAAAGCUUUUCUAAUUGGGUUAACCUAGCAAUAGCUUAGCUAGUUGAUUUUCAAAGCUUUUGUCUCAGUGGAUGCAUGACACCCAAUUCCAGAGAAAAUAGUUAAACUCUAGCUCAUUUUGUCAAUUCUAUGUGCAAGAUAUUAUGAAGUUCAAUAUAAUGAAAUGAAGUAUGUGUC